AGUCCCCUUGGCGCUUGUCAGGCCUGUGGUAGGCCAGGGGUUGGAAGCGAGUCGCCCUCAGCUGCCACUGCCCUACUUGUUCUAGGGUUCCCAUGUGACCAGGUGGCCGGGCUUCUACAUCCUGCAGUGGAAAUUCCACAGCAUGCCUGCGUGCGCCGCCAGCAGCCUUCCCCGGGUGGACGACGUGCUCGCGUCCCUGCAGGUCUCUUCGCACAAGUGUAAAGUGAUGUACUACACCGAGGUGAUCGGCUCGGAGGAUUUCAGAGGUUCCAUGACGAGCCUGGAGUCCAGCCACAGCGGCUUCUCCCAGCUGAGUGCCGCCACCACCUCCUCCAGCCAGUCCCACUCCAGCUCCAUGAUCUCCAGAUGGCGAUUUUGCUGACAGCUGCCAAGAAAAUGCUUCACUCAACAGUCCUCAUGUGCCCAGAGAUGUUUAUAGAACUGUUUGAAUUGCAGCCAUCCCCUGCCCCCUCCCAGGCUGAAGAUCUGUUCUUUUUAAGUUGAUUCGGGAGUGGCAUUCUUUUAUACCCAAAGAGUUUAGUGCAUCUUGAAGAGCUCAAAGCACAUGACCGCACAAAUGCUUACAGGGUUUCCUCCCGAGUAAUCCAGUCUCACUCCCCUUGUAAGGGAAUUCUGGGGCAGCUAUGGUUUGAGUAUGCAGUUUGCAUCGUGUUUCUACCUUUAGUACCUUGCCACUCUUUUAAAACGCUGCUGUCAUUUCCCAUUUCUUAGUACUAAUGAUUCUUUGAUUCUCCCUCUAUUAUGUCUUAAUUCACUUUCCUUCCUAAAUUUGUUAUUUGCAUAUCAAAUUCUGUAAAUGUUUUGUAAACAUAUUACCUCACUUGGUAAUACAAUACUG
rnacentral:lncRNA from 1 species